GCAACCUGGUUGAUCCUGCCAGUAGUCAUACGCUCGUCUCAAAGAUUAAGCCAUGCAUGUCUAAGUAUAACUCUUUUACUUUGAAAACUGCGAACGGCUCAUUAUAUCAGUUAUAGUUUCUUUGAUAGUCCCUUACUACUUGGAUACCCGUAGUAAUUCUAGAGCUAAUACAUGCAUCAAUACCCAACUGUUCG
rnacentral:rRNA from 1 species